rnacentral:rRNA from 1 species
GGUGAGUAACACGUGGAUAACCUACCUAUAAGACUGGGAUAACUUCAGGAAACCGGAGCUAAUACCGGAUAAUAUAUUGAACCGCAUGGUUCAAUAGUGAAAGACGGUUUUGCUGUCACUUAUAGAUGGAUCCGCGCCGCAUUAGCUAGUUGGUAAGGUAACGGCUUACCAAGGCAACGAUGCGUAGCCGACCUGAGAGGGUGAUCGGCCACACUGGAACUGAGACACGGUCCAG